rnacentral:rRNA from 1 species
AUGGAGCGCGGGCGGGGCGGGAGGGACGGGCCCUUCGGCGCGGGCGACCCCUUCGCCGGAUUCGGCCGCCUGGGGGGCGCCGCCCCGAUGCCCGGCCUCUUCGGCGGGGGCAGGGACCCCUUCGACGACCCCUUCUUCACGCAGCCCUUCGUGGGCAGCAGGAUGUUCGGCCCCGGAAUGUUCGGGCCGGGGCCUAUGUUCGGCCCGAUGGGCGGCCCUGGCAUGUUCGGCGCGUUCGGGCCCGGGGACGGGUUCCUCGAGCAAGCUCCUCCCGCGAGGAGCGGUGCUGGAGGGGGCCCUGUCAUCACGGAGAUUGAUGAGGACGAAGAGGGGGGCGAUGGGGACGGGCAGGCGAACCGCGGGGCAUAUGUUCAGGAGCCGGAUGAUGGGAGUGAUGGGAUGCAAGGGGGGCAGGUCCAGAUGAGGCGAGAUCCCAGCAGGGCGAACGGGGGCGGCCAGCCGCGGUCGCGUUCGUUCACCUACCAGAGCUCCACGGUGACUUAUGGUGGGAUUAAUGGAGCCUACUACACAGCUUCCAAGACCCGGAGGAGCGGCAGCGAUGGGAUCACUGUCGAAGAAAGCAAGGAGGCAGAUACUACGACUAAAGAGGCCACUCACAGGAUCUCCAGGGGAAUUCAUGAUAAGGGACACUCAGUAACAAGGAAGCUGAAAUCAGAUGGGAAGGUGGACAGUACACAGAUACUGCACAAUCUCAAUGAAGAUGAGUUACCUGGAUUUGAAGAAUCAUGGAAGGGCAGUGCUGGACAACACUUACCAGGCUGGAACCAGAAUGCCGGUAUAUCUAAUGGUGACAACUCUGGUAACCGUGGUGCCAACGGUACCAGGCAGCCUGCACAGAACUGGGCGCUCCCCGGAAUGCAGCAACAGCGCGAUCCAAGGAGGCACGACAACGGGCAGCCAAAGCCGAAGUCAUCGCGGAUCAUCCCAAUCUCCUGA